CAGUCGCCACGGUAAUACGUAGGUGGCAAGCGUUGUCCGGAAUUAUUGGGCGUAAGGCGCGCGCAGGCGGAUAGGUCAGUCUGUCUUAAAAGUUCGGGGCUUAACCCCGUGAUGGGAUGGAAACUGCCAAUCUAGAGUAUCGGAGAGGAAAGUGGAAUUCCUAGUGUAGCGGUGAAAUGCGUAGAUAUUGGGAGGAACACCAGUGGCGAAGGCGGCUUUCUGGACUGCAACUGACGCUGAGGCUCGAAAGCCAGGGGAGCGAACGGGAUUAGAUACCCCCGUAGUCCCUGUCUCUUAUACC
rnacentral:rRNA from 1 species